rnacentral:rRNA from 1 species
UACGUAGGGUGCGAGCGUUGUCCGGAAUUAUUGGGCGUAAAGGGCUCGUAGGCGGUUUGUCGCGUCGGGAGUGAAAACACACAGCUUAACUGUGUGCUUGCUUCCGAUACGGGCAGACUAGAGGUAUGCAGGGGAGAACGGAAUUCCUGGUGUAGCGGUGAAAUGCGCAGAUAUCAGGAGGAACACCGGUGGCGAAGGCGGGUCUCUGGGCCGAUACUGACGCUGGAGGAGCGAAAGCGUGGGGAGCGAACAGG